UACGUAGGGUGCGAGCGUUGUCCGGAUUUAUUGGGCGUAAAGAGCGUGUAGGCGGCCUGACAGGUCUGCUGUGAAAACUCGAGGCUCAACCUCGAGAUGUCGGCGGAAACCGUCUGGCUAGAGUCCGGCAGAGGAGAGUGGAAUUCCUGGUGUAGCGGUGAAAUGCGCAGAUAUCAGGAAGAACGCCUAAGGCGAAGGCAGCUCUCUGGGACGGUACUGACGCUGAGAUGCGAAAGCGUGGGGAGCGAACAGG
rnacentral:rRNA from 1 species